rnacentral:rRNA from 1 species
UACGGGGGGGGCAAGCGUUGUUCGGAAUUACUGGGCGUAAAGGGCUCGUAGGCGGCCAACUAAGUCAGACGUGAAAUCCCUCGGCUUAACCGGGGAACGGCCUCUGAUACUGGCUGGCUGGAGUUCGGGAGAGGGAUGCAGAAUUCCAGGUGUAGCGGUGAAAUGCGUAGAUAUCUGGAGGAAUACCGGUGGCGAAGGCGGCAUCCUGGACCGACAUUGACGCUGAUGAGCGAAAGCUAGGGGAGCAAACGGG